ACGCUCGACACCUACGGGAGACAGCAGUAGGGAAUCUUCCACAAUGGGCGCAAGCCUGAUGGAGCAACACCGCGUGAGUGAAGAAGGGUUUCGGCUCGUAAAGCUCUGUUGUUGGAGAAGAACGUGCGUGAGAGUAACUGUUCACGCAGUGACGGUAUCCAACCAGAAAGUCACGGCUAACUACGUGCCAGCAGCUGCGGUAAUCUGAGCGGGCUGGCAAGGC
rnacentral:rRNA from 1 species